UGUGAGUAGAAAGUUGCCAACCCUAUCUUUCUCCUGUGCCUGAACUCUGCCCAUCACUUCCCAGCUAAGAACCUUUCCAACCUCCUCCGCUUCCUCAGAACAGCCUGUGAUGGGGUGUUCUCCCCACAUUUUCCCUGAAAGGGUUAAGGCAGGCCAGAGGGACCAGUUAGCCUAUUAGACAGCAAGCUGGGGGGAAUUAAGACAGUGAAAGAAACCUUAAUUAGAAGGUCACAUUGUGCAGGAACAGGUGCAGCCUAUAUAAAUCAGGAAGUGGUCAACUAAAGGGGCUACUAGGAAAGGCUACAGUCACUUCCUAGGAGGAGUGUUUAGAGGCUGUAGAUAACCCCUGGCAAGAAUGAGCUUUAGAUAAAAUUUCUUCCACAAGUUGGCUGGAAAGAAAAAUGGUUUAGGAUUUCUGAAGAGUAAUGGGUCAGACAUUCAUCAGAUUGUUUCACCACCAACUACAGUAAGAGGGAACAGAGGGAGGGACAUGGCUACCAAGACCUUUAUGCCUCAGAUGAGAGCAUGAGGAAGCACAGGGUUCCUGCGCAGCCCUGAUGGACAUUGCGACUUAAAAAAAAAAAAAUCUUAUAUGCAUGGGAUCUGCACUGAAACAUACUUCUAGAACAAUAUUUACCGCACAUCUUGGCAAAACUAAAUUUUGAAUAUUGUGACCUUCAACUCUUAAUCUAUUAAGACUAACAAUUCAGAAUCUCGUGUGUGUAUAUAUUAAAAUAAAAUGUGUGAAUAUAUAUGUAUAGUAACAUAUACUCCCAUUAAAAAGGUGCUAGCUUUAAAAAUGAAAUUUGUCUUUGCCACCCAAUGGUGUCUAUUUCAGGCCCUUGGGACUUUGUCUGAUGAUUUUAUUUAAGCAUUUAUUAUUAAGUCCAGAUGUUCGGUGCUGUACAAGGCAGACGCAAAGACAUGGGAACUGCCUGAAAAACACAGUUUUAGUUGCAUAUAGAUCUUGAAUAAAUAGCCUGUGUAGUUCAAAGGUUCUUGUCAUGGCCUUGAUGUGGGGGCACAUUUCUUUGGUAUUAUCUCUUGGGUACAGCACAACUAUAUCUAUGCAACUUGGCACUGAACAGACAUAGUACAUAAGCCAAGAAAAGCAUAUAAAAUUGUGUGAUAAUUUUAAAAUCAAAUUAUGGUCUUCUUUUUUUCCCACAGAACAACAGAACCAUUUCAGCAUUACUAUUCCACCACAGCUUUACCUAUGGACUUUCGGCACAACUGCUGAGAAUUUAGAUUCUUAUUUGAAAGUGUAGGGGGCGCUACAAGCUAAGAUUUCCCAUUUCUUUUGGUACAAGCUGCCCUAUAUGCUUAUACUACAGAAGAAAAAUUCAGAGAUAAAAUGUUUAUCUUCCUGAAGCCUUUCACUUCUGAGCAGAAAUUGUAAUUUCCAGUGCUUAAAGGCAUAAUGUUUGUGUGAAAUUUUCACACAACUGUAUUUUCUUUGAGUUUCCCUGGAUAAAAUGUGUGUACACAUUUUCCCCAAAAACCAUGUACAACUUAAAAAUCAUGUUAAAACUAUAUAUAGUAUAUAUUGCCUUGAAUUACUAAUGACAUGAUAGGAUACCAAAAGGUGAAGAACUUGCACAUAAAAACUGAAUUUAAGUAUUUUUGCUAUUUGCUUAACUUUUGCAUUAGCCUGGAUAAUAAAAGUAAAUUACUUUGUCAUUGGUUUACUAUCAGUUUCUAAUCACUUUCACUUCAGUUUUCAUAGCUUAGCACAAUGUUACAAUAUUUUGCUUGCGACUUUUGAAGGGAAAUGUCACUUGCUAUAAAUUUUUGUUAUAAAGUAAUUGUUUCAGUUGGAAUUAAAAACAACCAAACAAA